CCUACGGGCGGCAGCAGUGGGGAAUAUUGCACAAUGGGGGAAACCCUGAUGCAGCGACGCCGCGUGAGCGAUGCAGUAUUUCGGUAUGUAAAGCUCUAUCAGCAGGGAAGAAAAUGACGGUACCUGACUAAGAAGCCCCGGCUAACUACGUGCCAGCAGCCGCGGUAAUACGUAGGGGGCAAGCGUUAUCCGGAUUUACUGGGUGUAAGGGGAGCGUGGACGGUCCUGCAAGCCAGAUGUGAAAGGCCGGGGCUCAACCCCGGGACUGCAUUUGGAACUGUACGGCUAGAGUGUCGGAGAGGUAGGUGGAAUUCCUAGUGUAGCGGUGAAAUGCGUAGAUAUUAGGAGGAACACCAGUGGCGAAGGCGGCUUGCUGGACGGUGACUGACGUUGAGGCUCGAAAGCGUGGGGAGCAAACAGGAUUAGAUACCCCGGUAGUC
rnacentral:rRNA from 1 species